rnacentral:tRNA from 1 species
GCGCCGCUGGCUCAACUAGGAAGAGCAACGGACUCUUAAUCCGUGGGUUCUGGGUUCGAUUCCCAGGCGGCGUA